GUAGCUUCCUCCUCAGUACCCAGAGGCCUGGAGCAAGGGUCACUUCUCUACCUCUGUGAUGCUGCUAUAUGGCCAAUCCGACCACCUACUUCCCAAAUGGAGAAACCACCCUGUGGAUGUGGGAAGUGGCUGGGUCUGCAUCAUGAAGCCCAUGGUAUGGUGGAAAGAAAUUUGUCUUUAUGUAGCAUGACUUCCAGAAAUGAAAAGAAGUGGCAGGACAGGACCAGAGGAGAGUCUAAGGUGGAGCUUGGAGAAGGUGACUGGAUCAUGAGAGUGCUGUACACGUCAGUGGAAUCACCAACUAGUGAAUUCAACAGCUGCAUGUGCUGUUGGUUGUAGGUGUCAAAUAUGUGUUCCAGCAAUG
ensembl:lncRNA